AAGUCGUAACAAGGUUUCCGUAGGUGAACCUGCGGAAGGAUCAUUAAAAACAGGUGAGGUGCCCCCCGGGGCGCCUCUAUACCUCCAUCCUAUGUCUACUUACUUUUGUGCUUUGGGGGCCGCGGGGGCUUUCGGCUCCCCCGCUGGUUUCGACCGGCGUGAGCCCGCCAGAGUCACCUAAAACUCUUGUCAAAUCGUGUCUGAACUAUUAUUAUAAAUAAACUAAAA
rnacentral:misc_RNA from 1 species